rnacentral:lncRNA from 1 species
AAGUGUCGGUUCGGGGCUUGAUAACGUGCGAGGUUCCUAUGUAAUAUGAAAUGAUAUACAAAUGUAUCUAAUUAGACUUUAAUUCACUAAUUAGAUAUGAUUAUACACUCCAAGAUGCGAAAACACUUCAAAUCAAGUGUUUGGAGUGACCCGGGUGACAUAUAAGGACGUAUAAGGCUUGGAUAUGGAGUUUACUCCUCAAGAGUAAACUCAUAAGAGGGUUUAUGGUCCUAAUGACCCUUUCCCCAUGAGUUUACGGCCGUAAACUCAUGGAUGGUGGGUUCUUGGUUGCCAAAUGGAAGAGUCAUGUACACGGGAAGGUUCUAGGGUCGAUUCCAUGGCUUAGGGAGUGAUCGGGACUUGAAAUGCCCUUGGGAAAUGAGUUUAAGGUCUAAGGAGAUGUUCUUAGGGAGUUUACUACCUUAAAAUCAUGAGUUUACAACCAUAAACUCAUGUUUGUCCAAGAAUUAAGGGCUUUGAUGGUUGUAAUUAAAUCACAUGUGAUUCUAGGUCCAAAACCAAGCUUUUCAAGGGAUUAAGGCACCUUAACACCCUUUGUUGGGUGUUUACGGUCUAAGAAGGUGGGUUUACGGUCCAAGAGGGUUCUUGGGCCGUAAACUCAUGUCCAUAUGUCAAAUGAUGUGAUUUUGGGGUCCUAAGUUCAUGCACGCAAGUUUCUAAGCCGAAUCUAAGCCCUAGAAGUGUCUUGGAGGGGUUUUGAGGCUUCAAAACCCUCAUAUGAGGUGUUCACGGCCUAAGGAGGCUCCAAAACCAUAAACACUUGUUUAUGGUCCCAUUCCUCAUAAAAAUUCCGAAUUUGAAGGUCUAAGAUGCUAAUUCAUGAGUUAGGAAAGUUACCUUAGAGAUUUGGAGCUUGUUUUGGAUGAUUUUGGCUAAGUUUUGGAUUUUAGAGAGAGAGAGUAGUGAGAGAAAGUUUUUAGAGAGAGAGUAAAAGCCUCAAAAUGAUGUCACUUAAUCCCUUAUAUAGGGGUUGAGUUUGUGGCCCGGAGGAAUUCUACCCGAUACUCCCGUAAUCACGAUUUAGAUGAAAAUAAUAAUUUUCCAAACAAAUAUGGAAAAUAUUUUAAUGAUUAUAACACAUCCCGACAUUUACGAAAUCAAAAUAAAAGUCACGAUAAAAUUAAUUUAACGCAAUGUUUAACGGAACGAAUUUAAUACGACGGAUUUUUAAUGACGUAUCGGGUUACGACGACGGAACAACUUCAGGUUGUCACGUUAUCCCCCCGUUAGUGGGAAUUUCGUCCCGAAAUUCAAAGAUUAAGAUACAGAUCAUGAAAUGAAAAAGGGAUGGGAAUGGAUCAGCUGCUCCGGGUUUUCACGCUCCCAAGUGCCAUCGGGUCUCCGCUUGACGUUCCAAUGAACCCUCAAUAUCGGGGCGCGUCUUGGUUUUGUUGGGUAGAUACUUCUUAAGGACUGAGACGUGAAGUAUCAAAUGGGUGUUACUAAGUUCUAAGGGUAACCGAAGUUUGAAGGUUACGGAAUCGAUCCUACGAGGAUCGCAAAGGGUCUAAUGUUACUAAGUUACAGGUUUCUAUAGGUAUCUCUGGUGCCGACUAGUUCCCUAUCGUCUUAGCUUUUGGAAAGGUCCAGGGUAUAAUGGCCUUGCUUAUCUACAUAACCAGGGAAGAUGGUUGACCGAAGGGCACAACUACAAACUCGUGGUGAUCAUGCCAGGUCCUGGUCGUUGUAUUGGAUACAUCUUCUUCCGGAGGUUCAGCUACGGGGUAGCUCCAGGAACUAGAUUAGUACGAGUCUUGACUAGACGUUCGGAAAAGAAUUCUCGAGGAUUCUUGGAAAGGCAUCAAGGAAAAAGUUACAGACUUCCCAUUUUCCCGAAUAUCAUACGGAUGGGGAAUGGUUGGAAAAACUUUCUAAGCUUUGAUGCACGAAGAAUAUGAGAGUUGGGUCAAAGGAAAAAUACGAACAGACGACCCUUUCGGAGACAAGACUAACCGCAUGAAUGAGACUAAGUCAUUCCAUGCCGAGUUUGCAUCAAGCUUUCCAUGAAAGGUUUACCUUUAAAUCAAAUGGAAAGGGAUAACCAUCCGAAUUGAGAAUACGAUCUAAGGGUAUGACGUUAACGCUUUCUUUCUCACUGGUUGGUCAUCUCGACGGUACAUGUUUUGAUUAAUAACGAAGGAUUUAAUUUAGAAAGAUAUUUGAAUGAAUGGUUAACAAAUCCUUUCAUCAUUAGAAUCGAGAAGGAUUACGGGCACAAGAUUUAUCGAAAAGAAGUAUACCUAUGGUGACGGUGGGAUCGGCGGCUGUUCUUUCUUGCCCCAUAGUUAGGACUCUCCUGGUGUUGCCAGACGUUAUUAUCUUUGGACAGUUUCGCUUAUAGUGCCCGACCUCUCCACAGCUGUAGCAGGUUUGACCGAUACCAGCUCCGGAAGCUUGUCUAGUUGAUGGGGUUGGGGUUUUGCAGGUUCGUGCGAGGUGACCUUCCUGGCCACAGCUUCUAUAGAACUUUGCACGACAAGGGCCAGGGAUGAGAUGGUGGUAGCUACAUCGGUCUCACCGCGGGAGGGUACCGGCAUAUCCGGUGACAGGUACUUGAGAUGUGGAAUUGACAACAGAAACAGCAGCAGGGAUAGUGGUAGCGGGGACUGCCACUAUUUGCUGUUUCUUCGAGGGUUCUGGGGAAGACUGACUCUUCUUCUUCUUUUUCCAAAACUUUCUUUUCUCGCCACUCUUUUCUGUUGGCUCGGGAGUGGCAUCUACUUCUUCUUGGUUUUCGCUGUGGUCGAUCAGGGUUUGCGCUAGACAUUUGGCGCUGUCAUAGGUAUCUGGCUUUGCUGCUAUAACGUUCCCUUUUGUUGGCUGGGUUAAUCCCCAAAUGAACCUUUCUACCUUUUUGUUCUUCGGGGUAACCAUUCCCGGAAAAAGAAGUGCCAAGUCAUCAAACCUUGAAGUGUAAGAGGUGAUAUCGGAACCUUUCAUCUUCAGGUUCCAUAACUCAUGUUCCAACUUCUGGAUUUCACCCCGAGGGCAAUACUCUGCACGAAGUAGUUCCUUCAUAACUUCCCAUCCCAUAGCAUUGGCUACAGGUAAAGUCAGGGAUUUGGCUCGGCCGUUCCACCAAGUCAAACCCUUAUCGGUGAGCGUACAGGCAGCAAAUUUCACCUUAUCAUAUUCCGAAUAGGCGCAAAUCUCGAAGAUAGAUUUGAUUUUCUCUAACCACCGAGUUAGAGCAAUGACACCCCCUGUGCCAUCGAAGAAUGUCGUUUUUGCGUUCAUGAAGUCUUUAUAGGAACACUCCUUCCAGUGUCCUUGAUUACCUUCCGGGUUUUGGGUUUGGGUACCACCCCCUGAACCACUAGGGUUUAGUUGAGGUAGGAGAGCUGAUAUGGUGGCAGAAAUGGUUGUGAAGUGUUUCCAGAUCGAUUUGAAUAAGAGGUGGUGGCGGUGGAGGGUUGUUGGUCUUUGAGCUGGGUCUUUUCCUCGGAGGCAUCUUGAUCUAAAAAGAUCAGGAAAGAGAGGAUCAUAAGUCCUCUGAAUUGAAUCAAGAGAUAUGGAUCAGGAAUAUCUCAUCAAUACAGAUAUAGUACCAUAUUAAGCAAUAAAGUAGGAAAGAGUGAUCAAGGCAGAAAAUUUUAUCGCUAGAGGAAUGAUCAAGGAACAACACGUAUUCGAGGAUUUCUACAAAGGAUCGGCUUGAGAAAUACUCCCAUAGUAUUUUAUGGUUCACUGUAGCGACGACUCGUUGUUUGGGAUAUUAGGUAAGUUUUAGGUAUGAUGCGUACCACAGUCACUCCCAAACACAUGUUGGCCGUGUCUCGAAUGAAUAUAGUUGGCCAGGCUAUAUUGAUCCUAGACACGACUACAUAACUGCCCAGGUUUAACCGCAGUGUACAACACCCAUUUACUUAUAUUUUGUUCUACUUGUAGUUACGGAUUUCGACGGUCGGUAUACUUGUAUACUUUAGAAAAUACUUAUAUUCGUAGAGUAUACUUUUAGUUCAGAGCACUUAGGCCCUUUAAUGUUUAUAGUCUUAUACCAUGUAAGCUUUGGUAUACCAGUUCACUAUAAACAAGGGCUCUGAUACCAAUCUGUCACACCCCGAAAACCAAAGGCGGAAACAUUUCCGGGGUUGACUCCACGUUGAGUAUCAAAUCCAAUGCACAUAGUAAAGCAGUAAUCACAAAACAUUACAUUACAUAAUAUUGUUUACAUCUAUUUGAAAGUAAAGUUUUACAUAUGUAAUAUGAACAAAAGUAAAGAUGUGUCUUCGAGAUGCUCCAUCUUCUCCAAAAGGUUGCGAUGUACCUGUCUAACGCUGACCUGAGAAUACAAGCAGUUUGAAAAUCAGCAUAAAGCUGGUGAGUUCAUAAGCAGUUUAGUUUUAAAAAAUGACGAGUUCCUUUUAUUUUUUGGAAAAGUUGUUGAUCAAGAAAACAGGAAAAUCCCAUAUUUUCCUUAUAGUUUAAGUUAUUCGUUUGUUACUUUAUCCGUUUAUGUGUUGUUGUACUACCCAGGAAAAUCCCAUAUUUUCCUAUGUAUUGAGUUGUCUCUUUGUAUCUAGGUUCGUUACUGUUUGUUAUGUUAUCCCAGGAAAAUCCCAUAUUUUCCUAUGUGUUAAGUUGUCUAUUCGAUUCUAAAUUCGUUACUAGCUGUUAUGUUAUCCCAGGAAAAUCCCAUAUUUUCCUAUGUGUUAAGUUGUUUAUUCGAUUCUAAAUUCGUUACUAGAUGUUAUGUUAUCCCAGGAAAAUCCCAUAUUUUCCUAUGUGUGGUGGAUGGUUCUUAGGUCUGAUUUCGAAGUACUAGUAAUUACCAUGUGAGUAGUAUUAGUUACGUGUUCUAAACCCUUAGUUAUUCUACAUUCGAAUGACUAUUAUCUACUAACAUAGUUGUAUUUUUGAAUAUUUGGAAUCACACAGAAGCGUACAUUUCAGUAUUUUUGAAGUUCUGUUGAGCUCCAAAAGAGUACAUUAGUUGUAUAUUCGAAGCUCUGUCGACAUUCUGAGGCGGAUAUAUUCAAAACUCAGUAGAGGUCCAAAGGCGUAUUUUCGCAUUUAAUUCGAAACUCUGGUGACACUCAAGGUGUACACUAACUGUAUAUUCGAAGUCUUAGUGUCAACCAAAGGCGUCAUUUCGCAUUCGUAGUUGUAUUCGCAUUCAUAGUCGUAUUCGUAUUCGUAGUCGUAUUCAUAUUCGUAGUCGUAUUCGUAUUCGUAGUUGUACUCGUAUUCGUAUUCGGAUUCGUAUUCGUAUUCGUAUUCAUAUUCGUAUUCGUAUUCGUAUUUGUAUUCGUAUUUGUAUUCGUAUUCGUAUUCGUAUUCGUACUAGAUUACAUUUGUAUUCGUAUUCGUAUUCGUACUAGAUUACAUUUGUAUUCGUAUUCGUAUUCGUACUAGAUUAUAUUUGUAUUCGUAUUCGUAUUCGUAUUCGCAUUAGAUUACAUUCAUAUUCGUAUUCGUAGCAGGUUAUAUUCAUAUUGACCUUAGAUGUGAUUAGUAUGAUUUCUUAUACAAAGAGAAUAUAGUUACAACACUUUUAAAAGAAAUCUAUAUUUAAUCUGCAAUUUGAAACGUCAGGUAUCAUAAAACUUUGGAAGUCAAGACAUUUAGUAAGUAAAACCAUUGAGUUGAAAAUCAGUUUAAGUACAAAAUACACUUGUACUUUUUGCUUGUAUUCCCCCCCUGAAAGCAUUGAAAAACCAUUGAAAACACGGAUGCUAAGUGUCGGUUCGGGGCUUGAUAACGUGCGAGGUUCCUAUGUAAUAUGAAAUGAUAUACAAAUGUAUCUAAUUAGACUUUAAUUCACUAAUUAGAUAUGAUUAUACACUCCAAGACGCGAAAACACUUCAAAUCAAGUGUUUGGAGUGACCCGGGUGACAUAUAAGGACGUAUAAGGCUUGGAUAUGGAGUUUACUCCUCAAGAGUAAACUCAUAAGAGGGUUUACGGUCCUAAUGACCCUUUCCCCAUGAGUUUACGGCCGUAAACUCAUGGAUGGUGGGUUCUUGGAUGCCAAAUGGAAGAGUCUUG